rnacentral:tRNA from 1 species
AUCUUUCUAGUAGCAAUAAAAGUAUGAGUGGCUUCCAACCACACGGUCCUGGUUUAAAUCCAGGGGAAGAUA